rnacentral:rRNA from 1 species
ACCCUACGGGGGGCAGCAGUGGGGAAUAUUGGACAAUGGGGGAAACCCUGAUCCAGCGACGCCGCGUGAGUGAAGAAGUAUUUCGGUACGUAAAGCUCUAUCAGCAGGAAAGAAAAUGACGGUACCUGACUAAGAAGCCCCGGCUAACUACGAGCCAGCAGCCGCGGUAAUACGUAGGGGGCAAGCGUUAUCCGGAUUUACUGGGGGUAAAGGGAGCGUAGACGGCAGAGCAAGUCUGGAGUGAAAUGCCGGGGCCCACCCCCGGAACUG